rnacentral:rRNA from 1 species
UAUAUCCCGCAACAAGCGCAACUCUUUGCCUUUAGUUGCAGCAUUAAGUUGGCACUCUAGAGGGACUGCGAGGAGACUCGGAGGAAGGUGGGGAUGAGUCAAAUCAUCAUGCCCCUUAUGCUUAGGGCUACACACGUGCUACAAUGGGUGGUACAGAGGGUUGCCAAGCCGCGAGGUGGAGCUAAUCCCUUAAAGCCAUUCUCAGUUCGGAUUGUAGGCUGAAACUCGCCUACAUGAAGCUGGAGUUACUAGUAAUCGCAGAUCAGAAUGCUGCGGUGAAUGCGUUCCCGGGUCUUGUCC